rnacentral:rRNA from 1 species
GAUGAACGCUGGCGGCGUGCCUAAUACAUGCAAGUCGAGCGAACAGACGAGGAGCUUGCUCCUCUGACGUUAGCGGCGGACGGGUGAGUAACACGUGGAUAACCUACCUAUAAGACUGGGAUAACUUCGGGAAACCGGAGCUAAUACCGGAUAAUAUAUUGAACCGCUUGGUUCAAUAGUGAAAGACGGUUUUGCUGUCACUUAUAGAUGGAUCCGCGCCGCAUUAGCUAGUUGGUAAGGUAACGGCUUACCAAGGCAACGAUGCGUAGCCGACCUGAGAGGGUGAUCGGCCACACUGGAACUGAGACACGGUCCAGACUCCUACGGGAGGCAGCAGUAGGGAAUCUUCCGCAAUGGGCGAAAGCUUGACGGAGCAACACCGCGUGAGUGAUGAAGGUCUUCUGAUCGUAAAGCUCUGUUAUUAGGGAAGAACAAGUGUAUAAGUAACUAUGCACGUCUUGACGGUACCUAAUCAGAAAGCCACGGCUAACUACGUG